rnacentral:rRNA from 1 species
GAUGAACGCUGGCGGCGUGCCUAAUACAUGCAAGUCGAGCGAACAGAUGAUGCUCUUGCUCCUCUGACGUUAGCGGCGGACGUGUGAGUAACAUGUGGAUAACCUACCUAUAAGACUGGUAUAACUUCGGGAAACCGGAUCUAAUACCGUAUAAUAUAUUGCACCGUGUUGUUCAUUAGUGAAAUACGGCUUUUCUGUCAUUUAUCGCUGCAUCUGCGCCUCAUUAGCUAGUUGUUAAGUUAACGGCUUACCAAGGCUACGAUGCGUAACCGAAGUGAGAGGGGGAUAGGCGGCACGAGAACUGGAACACGGUCAAGGCUACUGCGAGAGGCCGCAGAAGGGAAUCUUAGGCAGUAGGCGAAAGCAUGACGGAGCAACGCGGCGUGAGUGAUGAAGAUCUUCGGAUCGUAAAGAUCUGUUAUGGGGGAAAAACAGAUGUGGAAGGAACUAUGCAGGGAGUGACGGUACCGAAUAAGAAAGCAACGGCUAACUACGUG